rnacentral:lncRNA from 1 species
CCAUAAGUCGAUUACUCGUGUUGAGUAGAUAUAUUUUCAUGUCAAGAUCAUUGAAUUUGGUGGAGAAUGAAGAAGUUAUAGGCUUUGAAAAUUACAUAGUUUUCUCGUGAUUAUCCCCAUAUUCCGGACGCUAUGAAGGUAGCAGGCGGUGGCACCAGCGACCAGAGACACUUAGGAGACCGGGGAAUAUUCCGCUAAGUUUAAUAGAAUAUACCGUUCCGGGGACAAUUAAAAAAUAAAUGAUUAACCAUACACUUAAAGUCAGGGCCGGCCCUAAGGGUAGCCCAAGUAGGUGCCCGCUUAGGGCCCCCACUUUGGAAGGGCUCCCAAAAAAAUUUUAUAUCCUAUAAUUAACAUAUAAAUACAAAAAAAAAAGUAAGAAAUAUCAUAAUUCAUUUGUUAGUGCAGUGGAAAUGUUGCUUCAUUUUUGUUGGGGUGUUGAGUUCGAAACGCGAAGCUGUCUUUUUAGUCACUAGAUUUUUCUUGUUUUUCAAAUCUACUGCCAAUCCAUUUGUCUAAAUGCAUAUAAAGUUAUUAAAUGUCUCUUUGCAAUCUUUUUUCUUUCAACUUCUCAUUCUCUCAAUUUCUAUCGAAUGUUUAAACCAACUUCCCAUUCUCUCAAUUUCUAUUGAAUGUUUAAACCAACUAUCAUAUGGUCUUAAAGAUUGUACUUUAAGGUAAUCAAAACUUUGAAUUUUAUAUUUUUCUUUUCAAUAACUUUUUAUUCAAUGGAUUAUUUUAAUAUUUAAUUCGUUAGUGUGAUGUUGAUUUUAGAAGAAAAAAAAAACACAAGAGAAACAAUUGGCAUUGAAUUUAUUAUACUCGUCAAUCAAGUUUUAUUGUUAUUUACUCUCUUGAUCAUUAAGUUUUGUUGUUCUUCACUCUCAAUCUUAAACUCUUGACUGCAAAGAUUUAGUACAUUUGUGUUUUAAAAAAAGUGAAUCGUGUAAUGUUUGAAUAAUGUUUGUAUAUUUAUUUUCUUUUGAUAUUAAUUGUUAAUGAUAUUUGAUGUGAAAAUAGGACUUUUUACGUAUUUAGCGAAUUUUUUUUUAUACAAAUCAAUAUAC